CUAAAGGUGUAUGGAGGAAGACGUAAGUGAUGGUGAACUAAAGGUGUAUGGAGGAAGACGUAGGUGAUGAUGAACUAAAGGUGUAUGGAGGAAGACGUAGGUGAUGAUGAACUAAAGGUGUAUGGAGGAAGACGUAUGUGAUGAUGAACUAAAGGUGUAUGGAGGAAGACGUAGAUGAUGAUGAACUAAAUGUGUAUGGAGGAAGACGUAGGUGAUGAUGAACUAAAGGUGUAUGGAGGAAGACGUAGGUGAUGAUGAACUAAAGGUUUAUGGAGGAAGACGUAGGUGAUGAUGAACUAAAGGUGUAUGGAGGAAGACGUAUGUGAUGAUGAUCUAAAGUUGUAUGGAGGAAGACGUAGGUGAUGAUGAACUAAAGGUGUAUGGAGGAAGACGUAGAUGAUGAUGAACUAAAGGUGUAUGGAGGAAGACGUAGGUGAUGAUGAACUAAAUGUGUAUGGAGGAAGACGUAGUUGAUGAUGAACUAAAGGUGUAUGGAGGAAGACGUAGGUGAUGAUGAACUAAAGGUUUAUGGAGGAAGACGUAGGUGAUGAUUAACUAAAGGUUUAUGGAGGAAGACGUAGGUGAUGAUGAACUAAAGGUGUAUGGAGGAAGACGUAGAUGAUGAUGAACUAAAGGUGUAUGGAGGAAGACGUAGGUGAUGAUGACCUAAAGGUAUAUGGAGGAAGACGUAGAUGAUGAUGACCUAAAGGUAUAUGGAGGAAGACGUAGAUGAUGAUGAACUUAAUGUGUAUGGAGGAAGACGUAGGUGAUGAACUAAGGAGCUGAGGAGUAAGGAAGACGUAGGUGAUGAUGAACUAAAGUAGCAAAGGCGUAA